rnacentral:rRNA from 1 species
UACAGAGGGUGCAAGCGUUGUUCGGAAUUAUUGGGCGUAAAGGGAGUGUAGGCUGUUAAGUAAGUCUUCUGUGAAAUCUACGGGCUUACCCCGUAACGUGCAGAGGAAACUGCUUAGCUUGAGUGUCGGAGAGGAUAGGGGAAUACCCGGUGUAGAGGUGAAAUUCGUAGAGAUCGGGUGGAACACCAGUGGCGAAGGCGCCUAUCUGGCUGGCAACUGACGCUGAGACUCGAAAGCAUGGGGAGCAAACAGG